GAGGUCAGGUGCCCUUUCAGCCGAGGUAAGAACUUGAGGCUGGCUGUUCUACUUCUCUGAUUUUUUCAGCAUUUACUCUGAUAUCUGACUCCGGGUUUUUACUAAUAAGACCAAUUAGAAUCUGUGCUACCGUGAGGCUCCUUGGUUACCUGUACACUAUGAUCUCUCUCUCUUCCAGUGGCCCGGGCUCAUGUCCCAGCAUCCCCAAGUACCAGUGGAACAACUUGGCUGAACUUUUCUCGGUGCAAAAGCUUGUUAGUAGAGUUCAGAAGAUGAACUUCCGAUUUUGCUCCCCAAAUCUCUGGCAUCCUGGAGACAAGUGCAGCUACAGAGAUGACCAGAGAACAUAGGCCAUAGCUUCCCUUUAAACCCUAGAGACAAUGGCUCCUGUGUGCUCACCAGGGCCACACGGGACUGCCAGGAGUCCACUAGGAUCCAGUUGGAAGCCUGCAGAAAGGGGAUUCAGGAGACUGGCCUUCUGCAGAGCGUCCAGCAGGCAGCUCCAGGCAGCCUCUGCCCAAGACAUUCUAGAUGGACCACAGCCCUGAAGCCAGCCUUCUGGCCCAUAGGGACCUGGAGCGAGUCCACCUGUCUAGGCCCUGUACAGGACACGGGACGGGAAGAAGAGGCUGAGGCAAUGCAGGCAUGUAAGCAAGCAUGGUACCUUGCGCUGGCAGAAUGUGGAGCAGUAGUUGACCUUGUGGCAUCCGGUACACUCACUCAUGGCCUCCCGGCCGCAGUUGACACAGGACUGCUGCAAGAAGGACAAACACAUGUCAAUGUCACAGCAGGUGCCAGGCUCCGGGGCAGUAACCCGAGACUAAAGGAACACCAGGCACAGCCUUAUGGAGUGUGUCCUUCCCAGUGCUCUUCGGUUGUCCAGAACUGGCCUCCCCCUUUAUCUGAGUAUGCCCUGAAUCAGGUGCCAGAACGUCAGUGUCCGAACUCCAAGGAGACUCCCUUUCAGCCAUGUGGGUACAGAAAGCCUGGUUGGGGGAGUUCUCAACCCUGGGCACACUUCCUGAGUGCUUGAGGGCCCAGGCUGCAAACAUGCAGCCAUGCCAGCACUGGGCACAUCAGGGUCUCUGAGCGGCCUCGAGUGUAUCAACUAUGGGGUUUGGGUCCUAGUACCCCCGGUGGUGGCCAAGGCUUCCCCCAUACUGCUGUUCAGAGUCAUUUCACUGAAACAGCACUGAUCACCUGACGUUUGGUGUUUUUUUAAGCUACAUUAGGGGAGGACAGUUAAUGAACUGAGGUGCUGAACACAA